rnacentral:lncRNA from 1 species
GCCGGGCCGGCGCAGGCGGAGCUCCCAGACCCGGCGGACUCUAAGCCAGCUAGCCAGAUUUUCGUUGCGAGAGCGCUGGGGCCCAGGCCUAGCCUAGGAGGUCCCUGAGUCCCCCACCCGCCCCUUAAUUCUCUGUGAAUCCUGUUUGCAAAGAGGGCUCUUUGCCAACGCCUGUCCUUGGCAGCGUUAGACCAGGCUCGGAGGCAGCGCUGCCUCGUGUUGCCCAAAAGUGGGAGAGAAGACAAAGCACUGAGUGGCCUUCCUGCGCACGGCUGUCAGUUCCGGACCGCCCUCCGUCACUCCUGCAAGAGCCCCACCCUGUCCCUGAGAGAAGGAGCAGACGGCCCAAAGCAUGCCUCUAGUCGUAGCCCUAGAUGCUUUCACUUGAAGGGGGCUGUCGCACGGGGCCUGGUGUGCACUGAAACAAACAGGAAACACGCCAUCUCCAUCCUUUCAACACCCCGCACCCACCCUUCCCUCUCCCUGCAGAACUGGGUAUUCAUUUCUCAGGUUAUUGAAGAUAAAUGUAAAACAAAUACACAGGUGGCUUGUAUUUCAGGAGGCAUUGGAGUAUUUGUUGUAAACAAUAGAUUUUAUGCUGCACCUAUGCUAUUGCAAAAU